rnacentral:rRNA from 1 species
GACGAACGCUGGCGGCGUGCUUAACACAUGCAAGUCGAACGGAAAGGCCCUGCUUUUGUGGGGUGCUCGAGUGGCGAACGGGUGAGUAACACGUGAGUAACCUGCCCCUGACUUUGGGAUAACUUCAGGAAACUGGGGCUAAUACCGGAUAGGAGCUCCUGCUGCAUGGUGGGGGUUGGAAAGUUUCGGCGGUUGGGGAUGGACUCGCGGCUUAUCAGCUUGUUGGUGGGGUAGUGGCUUACCAAGGCUUUGACGGGUAGCCGGCCUGAGAGGGUGACCGGCCACAUUGGGACUGAGAUACGGCCCAGACUCCUACGGGAGGCAGCAGUGGGGAAUAUUGCACAAUGGGCGGAAGCCUGAUGCAGCAACGCCGCGUGCGGGAUGACGGCCUUCGGGUUGUAAACCGCUUUCGCCUGUGACGAAGCGUGAGUGACGGUAAUGGGUAAAGAAGCACCGGCUAACUACGUG